rnacentral:rRNA from 1 species
UACGUAGGGGGCAAGCGUUGUCCGGAUUUAUUGGGCGUAAAGAGCGCGUAGGCGGCUGGGUAGGUCCGUUGUGAAAACUCGAGGCUCAACCUCGAGACGCCGAUGGAAACCCUCCAGCUAGAGUCCGGAAGAGGAGAGUGGAAUUCCUGGUGUAGCGGUGAAAUGCGUAGAUAUCUGGAGGAACACCGGUGGCGAAGGCGACAUCCUGGACCGGUAUUGACGCUGAGGCGCGAAAGCCAGGGGAGCAAACGGG